CCCUAUUGCUAUCGGGAUGAGACUAAGCCAUGCUAGUUGUGCGCUCCUUAGCUAUGUUAGGAGAGCAGCGUACGGCUCAGUAACACGUAGUUAAUCUACCCUUAGGAUGGACAUAACCCCGGGAAACUGGGGCUAAUAACCAAUAGAUGCAAAUACCUGGAAUGGCCUUGCAUUGAAAUGUUUUUGAAAACAUGCUUUUAAAAGCGCCUAAGGAUGAGACUGCGGCCGAUCAGGCUGUUGGUGGGGUAACGGCCCACCAAACCUAUAACCGGUACGGGCCCUGAGAGGGGGAGCCCGGAGAUGGGAACUGAGACAAGGUCCCAGGCCCUACGGGGCGCAGCAGGCGCGAAAACUCCACAAUGCGCGAAAGCGUGAUGGGGUUACCCCGAGUGCCGUCCGUUGAGGAGGGCUUUUCCCCAGUGUAAGGAUCUGGGGGAAUAAAGGGGGGGGAAAGACUGGUGUCAGCCGCCGCGGUAAUACCAGCCCCCUGAGUGAUAGGGACGAUUAUUUAGCCUAAAGCGUUCGUAGCCGGCUUAGCAAGUCUUUUGUUAAAUCUAACGACUUAAUCGUUAGGCCGCAGAAGAUACUACUAGGCUAGAGGGCGGGAGAGGUUGACGGUAGUCCCGGGGUAGGGGUGAAAUCCUAUAAUCCCGGGAGGACCACCAAUGGCGAAGGCGGUCAACUAGAACGCGCCUGACGGUGAGGGACGAAAGCUGGGGUAGCGAACCGGAUUAGACACCCGGGUAGUCCCAGCUGUAAACGAUGCGGGCUAGGUGUUGGGGCAGCUACGAGCUGUCCCGGUGCCGCAGAGAAGUCGUUAAGCCCGCCGCUUGGGAAGUACGGUCGCAAGGCUGAAACUUAAAGGAAUUGGCGGGGGAGCACCACAAGGGGUGAAGCCUGCGGUUC
rnacentral:rRNA from 1 species